rnacentral:rRNA from 1 species
GAAUCCCUUGGCUUAACCAAGGAAGGGCAUUUGAAACUGCCUGGCUUGAGUACGGGAGGGGGAAGCGGAAUUCCCGGUGUAGAGGUGAAAUUCGUAGAUAUCGGGAGGAACACCGGUGGCGAAGGCGGCUUUCUGGACCGAUACUGACGCUGAGACGCGAAAGCGUGGGGAGCAAACAGGAUUAGAUACCCUGGUAGUCCACGCUGUAAACGUUGGGCACUAGGUGUUGUGGGUAUUGACCCCUGCAGUGCCAAGGGCGAAUUCCACAGUGGAUA